GAGAUGGCUGAGUGGUUGAAAGCGGCGGUCUUGAAAACCGUUGAGGGUCAUACCUCCGGGGGUUCGAAUCCCUCUCUC
rnacentral:tRNA from 1 species